UUCCCUCGCACUUGCCUGAAGCUGGGAGAGGCCUUUGGCCCUUGAUCCGGGAUCUCGGGCCCUCGGGCCUGCAGAGCCUCCUCCUUCCCUUCCGUGGGCGCGGAAGAGAGCCCAGCGAGCCCUGGAAGCCCAAGGCGCGGUUACCAAUGCCAUAUUUCAGAGAGGAGAAGUGAGGCGCGGAGACGUGGGUCUGCCCAAGGCCACCCAGACUGAGGAAAUGUCAAUCAUUGGAUCAAGAAUCAACACCAACAUCACCUUAUCUGUGAUUACUGCUGCUUGAUGGGUUAAUUCAAAACUUAGUAGCUUAAGACAACAAUAAAGGUCUCAUACAUCUCACGGUUUCUAUGGCUCAAGAAUUUGGAAAUGCUUUGCCUGGGCAGUUCUAGCUGGGGUUCUGUCACGAGGCUGCAGUCAUUUGACGGCUCGACUGGGGCUGGAGGAUAGACUUCCACCAUGGCACACUUAUAUGGCUGUUGGAGGCCUCAGCUUCUCCACACAUGGGCCGCUCCAGAGGGCUGCCUGAGCAUCCUUAUGACAAAGGAGUGGGCUUCCUCCAGAGCAAAUGAUCCAAGACACAGAGCAGAAGCCACACCUCUUUUAUGAUCUAGCUUCGAAAGUUUCACACUAUCACUUCCUCAACAUCCUAUGGGUCCUGCAGCCCAGCAUUUGUCAAUAUGUAUGGCAGGGCCUACACAAAGGUAUGAAUACAAUAAGUGAGGAUCAUCGGGAGCUCUCUUGGAGACUGGUUACCACAAGAGAUUAUUAUUAAUACUAUUUGGCAGGGGUGUUUUGAGGCUCUGGAGGAGAGUACUAUGUGGCUAAAGCCGCCAUUUCUUAUUUGUCUUUGUAGUCAAUUCAAACCAAGUGGUCCGUUGCUGUUAAUGGUAUUCCAUGUCACAGCGAAACCAGCCAUCUGUCCAACAAACAUGGACUCAGGGCCCCCCCCUCCAGAUUGGGGAAUAGGACAGUAGUGAAGAGAAAGAAGAUUCCUCAUUGUGGGUCCCUCAGGUCGUGGAGAGGGAAGACGUAAGGAGACAAAUGGGUGCCAGUUGGUGCUAUACUGCUGUAGAGAGGACUAUAGGUGAUGCUGUCACUUGGGGGGUUCAGCUAUAGGUGAUGCUGUCACUUGGGGGGUUCAGGAAGGACACCACGCCCUGAGGGCCAUAGUUGGGGACCUGUACACCUUCGUCAGAAAUCAGAGAUCUGUGGGGCGCCUGGGUGGCUCAGUCAGUUAAGCAGCUGCCUUCGGCUCAGGUCAUGAUCCCAGAGUCCUGGGAUCGAGCCCCGCGUCGGGCUCCUUCCUCAGCGGGGAGCCUGCCUCUUCCUCUCCCUCUGCCUGCCACUCCCCCUGCUUGUGCUCUCCCUCUCUCGAUCUCUAUCAAAUAAAUAAAUAAAAUCUUAAAAAAAAAAGAAAUCAGAGAUCUGCAAUGACCCAUGCAUUGCAAUGAGGUAGCUGCAAGCGAAACCUUUCCGUAGAAAACCAGCCUGGAUAAGACAGACUUUUGAUAGCAUCACACCCCUCACGGGGCACCUCUCAUUUGCACAACUCCCCCUCCCGAAUGUAAGAUCCACAGGAGGGGAACUUACUAUAUCUCCUUUACCCCUAUAUCUUUGGCACCUAAAGAAUGGCUAGUACAAAGUUGAUAUUCACUAGUGACUAAUGUUAAUAAUAAUUGUUAAAUACUUAAUCAGCAUUUUUCGUGUCUCCAAGUCUUUCGGGUUUAAUGGAAGUCGCCCAUUAAUAGAUGAAAGUGGCUGAAGCUCUCAGUCCACUUACAGUGGAAUGUCAGCACAGAGUCCUAAAGACUGCCAGAGAGGGGUGGGGGGACAGAGCGGGAGCCCCAGGAGCCUGUGUCCUCCUGGUUCCUCUCUCAGCUCCUGCAGCAGAAAUCCUCUCUGCUCCGCUUGCCUGGCCCGAAUGAAUGGGGAGUCCAGAUCUUCCCGGGAUGUCCCCAAAGCAUCUCUAACACAAAGUGUUUGGUGUCCCAGACUUUGAGGGUUUGCAGCGACCAGAGAGGGUGAGAUGUGACAGCAUGAGCCAUCAAGUGGCCUGAGAGAGAAUAUUGAGACUUCUUGGUUCUUGAAAGUUUCUGGGCCCCAGCCAGGCUCUCCCCACCUUACUACUCUCUUCCCAAUGGGCCAGCCUCGGUGCACUCCCACACUCUUGCUGCACUCUCCCCUUUCACAGCUGGUGUCAGUUAGAUGCUCAUUCAUACCAGCUGUCAGCAGUUGGGGGUCCAAACUCCAAACUAUCACCUUACCUUUAGCGUGGUCACAUUUUUAGGCUUGGUGCCCACCUUUCUUCUAAAUGGAGGGCAGCCUUGGGUAUAAUGGCUUAUUGUAUUCCCAUAAUGAAUUACACAACACCCCCUUCCUCUUAGAAGACAGAAGCAUCCUAGUCAAUUAUUAUGGUUUUUUUUUUCCUAGAAAUUUUUAAUUCUAGCUAUUCAUAGAUAUACAUACAUGCCCACGAGAUGGCUGAUUAACACAAAGAAAAUAUCAUCUUGAGAAAAUUGACAAAUCUUGAGUACUUAUUUAUUUAUUAAGAUUUUAUUUAUUUAUUUUAGAGAGUGGGGAGGGGCAGAAAGAGGGGCAGAGAGAAUCUCAAGCAGACUCCCCACUGAGUGUGGAGCCUGACAUGGGGCUCGAUCUCAGGACCCUGAGAUCAUGAGAUCAUGACCUGAAUGGGAACCAAGAGUUGGAUGCUUAAAUGACUGUACCAUCCUGGCACCCCAAAUCUUGAGUACCUUUUAAAAAGUAUUCUAUAUAUACCAUCACUUUGCAGAACAACUUAUUGUCCAUGCAGUGAUUUGAGGGGUUUUCUAAGAUUGUCUGUUCUCCAAAGACUAUCAGAGAGGUGGCACAGCAGAGUGAAUCCCAGCCAUUUUGUGGACAGGUGGACUGAGGGAGAAGGUCAGAGGGCAUUCUGGAGUGAUUCGCAACCUCUCAAACAGAAAUAUAACAUCUUCUUUUAUCCUCUGCGGAGUCUGGAGCUAAAUUCACACCUUUUUUUUUUCUUCCCAUCACUUAAAAUCAAAUUCUCGCCCUUAAUACUUCCUUUCAAAGCUGCACCAAAAAUGAUAAUGUCUUCUCAUGCAUAUGAAUUACCCGAAGCGUAUGAGAAUCGACCCCACUGGAGUGUGCUGAGGACUUAACCCCACUAAAUUUAAAGCUGCUAAGCCCUGAUUAAGGCAAAGUUGUCUUUUUGUUUUAUAAGACAUUUAGGACAGUUCACAUCACCCUGCACUGAUGCACUGAAAUCGAUCGUAGGCAAACUAUAAAGAGAGAAUAUGCUCCCCAUAUCUGCUCCUGAGCCAGGCAGGAUGAUGAAUUCCGAUUUGGGGUUGAAGCAAACAGUGGCAUCUGUCUCCCCUGCACACACCUGCUUGGAUCCUGGUUUAACUCCCUCCUUGGCUGUUCAUCUGUGGAAAGGUGGUGCGUUUUCAAUCGAAAUCUCAUGCUCUACAGACCACUUGGACACUCAACAGUUAUUUGCUGGAGGAACAAAGCAUAAGACAUGAUAAUUUAUUCUAAACCGAGAGGUAGCACCUCUGUUCAAACACCUGAUGACUUCUCUUUAGAGAAAAAGCACUAAAAGUAGCUUUGGCAACAAAUUUCCCCUAAUCCUAGUUUCUGUGGAAGCCAGAUUCUAAGCUUCACAGCUAAGCUCAGAGCAUGAAUCGAAGACACCACAAGGGGGAGCUAGAGAUCAGGAAAUCCGGGAAGCAUUGGCGCUGCCGAGAGCUCAAGGCGCGGCUCUGGAUUGUCAUCCAACAGAGGAAGCAUGUCACUUAGUGGGAACUGUACAGCGACAAUGACUUCUCUCUUCACCAUUUUGCCAUGAUGGAAUUAGUCUCUAUAUGCCCAGUCUGAUAACUAGGCGCAUCCUGUGAUUCCACAGAAUUUCAAGACCGCCUGCCGGUUACAGAACCCACGUCUGUAUGAUAAACAAGUAUCUUAAAUACUUUGUGUUCUUACCCUUUUUAGCCUGAUAGGGACAGAAAUCCCACUCGUCUACCUCAGUGCUUUUCCAGGGGGAGUUGGAAUUUGGAGACACGGUGUUAACCUAGGUCCUUCCCCCAAAAGCAGAGCCUGAGAAAAGGCCUUGAACAAGGAUGGCUUCUUUGAGAGGCUCCCCAGGGACCGGGACAAGGAGCGGGAAGAAGUGGCACAAGGGAAGGGGGCACAGCCCGUGCAAGGAUGCGUUAUCAAGGCUGGAGGGUCACUGCUGUAGGCAGCCGGGGCUCAGCCCCGGGCCGACUUCCCAGCAGCGUGCGGAAGGCCUCCCAGCAUUCUCUGCCUACCCCCACCCAAUCUCCCCACGGCCCCCCAACCUAGU